UGGGGAAUAUUGGGCAAUGGGCGCAAGCCUGACCCAGCAACGCCGCGUGAGGGAAGAAGGUUUUCGGAUUGUAAACCUCUGUCGCAGAAGACGAAGGAAGUGACGGUAUUCUGUGAGGAAGCCCCGGCUAACUACGUGCCAGCAGCCGCGGUAAUACGUAGGGGGCGAGCGUUGUCCGGAAUUACUGGGCGUAAAGGGAGUGUAGGCGGUCUUUUAAGUUGGAUGUGAAAUCCCCGGGCUUAACUUGGGGGGUGCAUUCAAAACUGGGGGACUAGAGUACAGGAGAGGGAAGCGGAAUUCCUAGUGUAGCGGUGAAAUGCGUAGAUAUUAGGAGGAACACCGGUGGCGAAGGCGGCUUUCUGGACUGACACUGACGCUGAGGCUCGAAAGCGUGGGGAGCAAACAGG
rnacentral:rRNA from 1 species